UACCUGCAGGAUAGCUCAGUUGGUAGAGUAUCAGACUCCUAAUCUUAGGGUUGUGGGUUCAAGCCCAGUGUAGGGUAA